rnacentral:rRNA from 1 species
GAUGAACGCUGGCGGCGUGCCUAAUACAUGCAAGUCGAGCGAACAGACGAGGAGCUUGCUCCUCUGACGUUAGCGGCGGACGGGUGAGUAACACGUGGAUAACCUACCUAUAAGACUGGGAUAACUUCGGGAAACCGGAGCUAAUACCGGAUAAUAUAUUGAACCGCAUGGUUCAAUAGUGAAAGACGGUUUUGCUGUCACUUAUAGAUGGAUCCGCGCCGCAUUAGCUAGUUGGUAAGGUAACGGCUUACCAAGGCAACGAUGCGUAGCCGACCUGAGAGGGUGAUCGGCCACACCGGAACUGAGACACGGUCCAGACUCCUACGGGAGGCAGCAGUAGGGAAUCUUCCGCAAUGGGCGAAAGCUUGACGGAGCAACGCCGCGUGAGUGAUGAAGGUCUUCGGAUCGCAAAACUCUGUUAUUAGGGAAGAACAAAUGCGUAAGUAACUAUGCACGUCUUGACGGUACCUAAUCAGAAAGCCACGGCUAACUACGU